AUGCUGCCCAAGAUGGUCGGGAAGCUGAAGCAGAACCUGCUGCUGGCGUGCCUGGUGAUCAGCUCGGUGACCGUGUUCUACCUGGGCCAGCACGCCAUGGAGUGCCACCACCGCAUGGAGCAGCGUGGGCAGCCCCCACGGGGGGACAGUGCCAGGGCCACCCUGGGGACAGCCCCCAGUGCCAGCACCAACAGAAGCCUGCCCUACAGCAAGGACAUGCCCCUGAUCUUCAUCGGGGGAGUGCCCCGCAGCGGCACCACGCUGAUGCGCGCCAUGCUGGACGCGCACCCCGAUAUCCGCUGCGGGGAGGAGACCAGGGUGAUCCCCAGGAUCCUGGCUGUGAAGCAGAUGUGGGCCAGGUCCAGCAAGGAGAAAAUCCGCCUGGAUGAGGCCGGGGUCACGGAUGAGGUGCUGGAUUCAGCCAUGCAGGCGUUUUUGUUGGAGAUCAUCGUCAAACACGGCGAGCCCGCUCCCUAUUUGUGUAACAAGGAUCCCUUUGCUUUAAAAUCCCUAACUUAUCUCGCCAGAAUUUUCCCCAAUGCCAAAUUCCUGCUGAUGGUCCGGGAUGGCCGUGCAUCUGUGCAUUCCAUGAUCUCCAGGAAAGUCACAAUAGCUGGCUUUGACCUGAACAGCUACAGGGACUGCCUGACCAAGUGGAACCGGGCCAUAGAAACCAUGUACAACCAGUGCAUGGAGGUGGGCUUUGGCAGGUGCAUGCUGGUGCACUAUGAACAGCUGGUCCUGCACCCUGAGAGGUGGAUGAGGACUCUCCUCAAGUUCCUGCACAUCCCAUGGAACCAGGCAGUGCUGCACCAUGAGGAGAUGAUUGGAAAAGCUGGGGGGGUUUCUCUUUCCAAAGUUGAAAGAUCCACUGACCAAGUGAUCAAGCCAGUGAAUGUGGAAGCCUUGUCCAAGUGGGUUGGGAAGAUCCCAGCUGAUGUCCUGCAGGACAUGCCAGUGAUUGCCCCCAUGCUGGCCAAACUGGGCUAUGACCCCUAUGCCAACCCCCCCAAUUAUGGGAAGCCAGAUCAGAAAGUGGUGGAAAACACAAGGAGGGUCUAUAAAGGUGAAUUUCAGCUUCCUGACUUCCUCAAAGAAGUGCCACAGCCAAAGAAGACAGUAGAAAGGAAGUCUCGUGGCAAGAUAAAAUGAACGUGGAUCAGUGAAGUGGCAUAGCUGUAACUGAACCUAUGGAAUAGAGGAUAAAAUGGACAUUUCUUGCACAGAAGGUGAUCAACUGCUGCCUUUUCCAUGGGAAUGAUCCCUCAGGCCUGGCCCCUGGGAUCAGAGGUGUGCUGCUCAUGGCCUGCUCUCUUCAGAAUGUUCUCUCCUGUUUCUUUCAUCCUGUUUUUGUUCUGUAUUUUGCUGUUGUGAGCGCAUGUAAACCUUAUAAAAAAACAACAAAAAAAAAAUCACUGAUGUUAAUGUAGAACUGCAUUACAUUCGCACAACUAUUUUUUUAAGGUUUUAAAAAAUGCAAAAGCAAUGCCUGUCUCUGAAAUU